rnacentral:rRNA from 1 species
AGCAGUAGGGAAUCUUCCACAAUGGACGCAAGUCUGAUGGAGCAAUGCCGCGUGAGUGAAGAAGGGUUUCGGCUCGUAAAACUCUGUUGUUGAAAAAGAACGGGUGUCAGAGUAACUGUUGACAUCGUGACGGUAUUCAACCAGAAAGCCACGGCUAACUACGUGCCAGCAGCCGCGGUAAUACGUAGGUGGCAAGCGUUGUCCGGAUUUAUUGGGCGUAAAGCGAGCGCAGGCGGUUAUUUAAGUCUGAUGUGAAAGCCUUCGGCUUAACCGAAGAAGUGCAUCGGAAACUGAAUGACUUGAGUGCAGAAGAGGACAGUGGAACUCCAUGUGUAGCGGUGGAAUA